UAGGGAAUCUUCGGCAAUGGGGGGAACCCUGACCGAGCAACGCCGCGUGCGUGAAGAAGGUUUUCGGAUCGUAAAGCUCUGUUGUUAAGGAAGAACGAGUGUGAGAAUGGAAAGUUCAUGCUGUGACGGUACUUAACCAGAAAGGGACGGCUAACUACGUGCCAGCAGCCGCGGUAAUACGUCGGUCCCGAGCGUUGUCCGGAUUUAUUGGGCGUAAAGCGAGCGCAGGCGGUUAGAAAAGUCUGAAGUGAAAGGCAGUGGCUCAACCAUUGUAGGCUUUAGAAACUGUUUAACUUGAGUGCAGAAGGGGAGAGUGGAAUUCCGUGUGUAGCGGUGAAAUGCGUAGAUGUAUGGAGGAAGACCGGUGGCGAAAGCGGCUCGCUGGUCUGUAACUGACGCUGAGGCUCGAGAGCGUGGGGAGCGAACAGG
rnacentral:rRNA from 1 species